rnacentral:lncRNA from 1 species
GCAGGGUGGAGAACAGAGGGCGACUAGAUUAAAUGGAAAGAAUGCCCAGGCAUCCCAUUGCCUCCCUUUGACGUUCCAGAACUUCAUCAAGACAGUGAUGAGCUACAUGUACACCUGGAGGAGGACCAUGCAGAAUACCAUCCAGCGCCAUGAACACUAGUCAGUCAGUCAGUAAUGGUGGGCUUCUUGGUGUGCUCCAGCUCAAUUUUCUCAU